CAAUAGCAUAUAUUAACGUUGUUGCAGUUGAAAAGCUCGUAGUUGAACUUUUGGUAGGAGCGACCUGGCCUUGGGCGCAUGCCCUUGUUUGCCGUGUGUCGUAUCUGGCCAUCCUUUUCCGCUUCGGCGGGAAUCCUUUACUGUGAGUAAACUGGAGUGCUCGAAACAAGACGUUUGUUUGGUACAUUAAAGCAUGGAAUAAUAAGAUAGGACCUGGUUACUAUUUUGUUGGUUUGCAUAGCUAGGUAAUGAUUAACAGGGACAGUUGGGGGUAUUCGUAUUUAAUUGUCAGAGGUGAAAUUCUUGGAUUUAUGAAAGACGAACGACUGCGAAAGCAUUUACCAAGGAUGUUUUCAUUAA
rnacentral:rRNA from 1 species